CUAUUUGACCAAUCUCCUCAAAAGAUUUGGGUUAUCAAGAUGGGCAUGGUGGAGAGCACGUCUUUAACCCAAGCACUCUGAAGGCAGAUCACCAAUCAGAGACCAGUCUGGAAUGGACCUAUAGCAUAGAUCUGCCUGAUGACACCGAUGGCACCCCACGUGUGGCUCCUGCCCUGUCUCCUGACACAGACCUGCGCUGGUCCCGAACCCCAAGCCCUGCUCCCCUACAGGCCUGAGCACCGCCCUGGAGUCCCAGGAGGAUGUCGGAGUUUCAUCCCUGACCGCCAUCCUCAGGCUCACACUCAUCGCCCA